rnacentral:rRNA from 1 species
AGAGUUUGAUCCUGGCUCAGAGUGAACCCUUGAGGCGUGCUUAACACAUGCAAGUCGAACGGAAACAGCACCCUCUUGCUUCUGGCUGUCGAGUGGCGCACGGGUGAGUAAUGUAUAGCUUACGUGCCCCAUAGAGGGGGAUAACUACUAGAAAUGGUAGCUAAUACCCCAUACUCCUUAUAGUAGGGAUACUAUAAGGGAAAGGAGUAAUCCGCUAUGGGAUCGGGCUAUAUCGUAUCAGCUAGUUGGUGAGGUAAAGGCUCACCAAGGCUAUGACGCGUAGCUGGUCUGAGAGGAUGAUCAGCCACACUGGAUCUGAGACACGGCCCAGACUCCUACGGGAGGCAGCAGUGGGGAAUAUUGCACAAUGGGGGAAACCCUGAU